rnacentral:lncRNA from 1 species
CUGCCACUCGACACCCACUGGUUAUUCCAAUGUGAGCUAGCUAGCUGCGUCCUGUGUUGCUGCUUAGUUUGGCCACACCGACUUGUGCGUCUAUUUUGAUCUUCUGAGCUCGCUAUCAGGACCCUGGCCACAGUGGAACAUGGAUCUGAAGGCUUGACUCACUUUGGUUUCCACACUGGAUUCUACAUUGAGGAUUUGUGUUUGAUACCAAAGUCUAGAUUGGACGGUUACACUCAGCAUGAAAGACCCAUCACCAAGGAAGUUUACAUAUCCCACCACUUCCCUAAUGUCAACCUGAGUUGGACAAAAACCAAAGGAUCGACAGAGCUGCAGGAGCUGUGGAGGACAGGUUAUGCACGAGACC